GACGAACGCUGGCGGCGUGCUUAACACAUGCCAGUCGAACGGUGAAGCGCCUUCCUUUUUGGUGGGUGUGGAUGAGUGGCGAACGGGUGAGUAACACGUGAGUAACCUGCCCCCUUCUUCUGGAUAACCGCAUGAAAGUGUGGCUAAUACGGGAUAUUCUGGGUCUGUCGCAUGAUGGGUCUGGGAAAGAUAUUGUUUCGGUGGGGGAUGGGCUCGCGGCCUAUCAGCUUGUUGGUGGGGUGAUGGCCUACCAAGGCGGUGACGGGUAGCCGGCCUGAGAGGGUGGACGGUCACACUGGGACUGAGACACGGCCCAGACUCCUACGGGAGGCAGCAGGGGGGAAUAUUGCACAAUGGGCGCAAGCCUGAUGCAGCGACGCCGCGUGAGGGAUGGAGGCCUUCGGGUUGUGAACCUCUUUCGCCAGUGAAGCAGGCCUGCCUCGUUUGUGGGUGGGUUGACGGUAGCUGGAUAAGAAGCGCCGGCUAACUACGUG
rnacentral:rRNA from 1 species